UACGGAGGGGGUUAGCGUUGUUCGGAAUUACUGGGCGUAAAGCGCACGUAGGCGGACUGGAAAGUUGGGGGUGAAAUCCCGGGGCUCAACCCCGGAACUGCCUCCAAAACUAUCAGUCUAGAGUUCGAGAGAGGUGAGUGGAAUUCCGAGUGUAGAGGUGAAAUUCGUAGAUAUUCGGAGGAACACCAGUGGCGAAGGCGGCUCACUGGCUCGAUACUGACGCUGAGGUGCGAAAGUGUGGGGAGCAAACAGG
rnacentral:rRNA from 2 species